CGUAGGAAGCAAGCGUUGCCCGGAAUUACUGGGCGUAAAGAGCUCGUAGGCGGGGGCGUGCGUCCGAAAGGAAAUCUCAAGGCUCAACCUUGGGGCUUUUUCGGAUACGGCGCUUCUUGAGGGUGAGAGAGGAAAGCGGAAUUCCAGGUGUAGCGGUGAAAUGCGUAGAUAUCUGGAGGAACACCAGCGGCGAAGGCGGCUUUCUGGCUCAUUCCUGACGCUGAGGAGCGAAAGCGUGGGUAGCGAACGGGAUU
rnacentral:rRNA from 1 species